rnacentral:rRNA from 1 species
UACGAAGGGGACUAGCGUUGUUCGGAAUUACUGGGCGUAAAGCGCACGUAGGCGGAUUUGUAAGUCAGGGGUGAAAUCCCGGGGCUCAACCUCGGAACUGCCUUUGAUACUGCAAAUCUCGAGUCCGAUAGAGGUGGGUGGAAUUCCUAGUGUAGAGGUGAAAUUCGUAGAUAUUCGGAAGAACACCAGUGGCGAAGGCGGCUCACUGGACUGGUAUUGACGCUGAGGUACGAAAGCGUGGGGAGCGAACAGG